GACGAACGCUGGCGGCGUGCUUAACACAUGCAAGUCGAACGGAAAGGCCCUGCUUUUGUGGGGUGCUCGAGUGGCGAACGGGUGAGUAACACGUGAGUAACCUGCCCUUGACUUUGGGAUAACUUCAGGAAACUGGGGCUAAUACCGGAUAGGAGCUCCUGCUGCAUGGUGGGGGUUGGAAAGUUUCGGCGGUUGGGGAUGGACUCGCGGCUUAUCAGCUUGUUGGUGGGGUAGUGGCUUACCAAGGCUUUGACGGGUAGCCGGCCUGAGAGGGUUACCGGCCACAUUGGGACUGAGAUACGGCCCAGACUCCUACGGGAGGCAGCAGUGGGGAAUAUUGCACAAUGGGCGGAAGCCUGAUGCAGCAACGCCGCGUGCGGGAUGACGGCCUUCGGGUUGUAAACCGCUGUCGCCUGUGACGAAGCGUGAGUGACGGUAAUGGGUAAAGAAGCACCGGCUAACUACGUG
rnacentral:rRNA from 1 species